GUCGCAAAGAAUGUGUGUUAGCGCGCCUCAGCUCGUCCACUACGCAGCGGCAUGUAUGCGGGGAGUAACAUCGUCGACGCAGCACCGGCAACUUGGAGAGUGCUUCGCGACCGCGUCGUACCAUUCAAAAGUGGCGAGGCUGUGACCCAUAACAGUGCCUACAUAACGGAGGAGCCACCAGACCCCUUGGCUAUGCCUGCCGUAGUGCAACGUAUAAUCUGGAUGGUCGGGUCAGGUACACCUAGGAAAUGUUGUAUACAUUGGCAACGAUAACUGGGGCCUGCUCCAGUGCCAUCGCCGGGAUUCCCUGUUCUGCAAAAAGCUGACAUAACUGAUGUGGGGAGCCCUGGCGCUCGGUGUAGGAGUAUCACAGGGGCUCCUUGUCGGUGCUUGAAGGACGGCAAUGCUGUUGAGAAGCCGACAUUGAGCCCCGAUAAAUUGGAAGCUGUGGGUAGUUACCGCAUUAUUGACUUGGAAACCAGUGAGGUCUGGAUGCAAGUGAAGCUACUGAGGGAGGCAUGUGUGCAUCACUUGUGCUGCUGGCCAUUCUCUGCAAAAGUGAUGGCUGGCAGUCAGUGCUUGGAUGACUUUCUGUUACUCUACGCCUUGGGCUGUGUUGACUACUUCACACUUGCUGCCAUGUCUGCAAGCUUAGGCAAAAAGACCGGCUGGAUGCUUGGCAGGAGAUAUUAUCCAACCGCAGUGUUACUGUGUUGUGUUGUACAUUACAAAGUGAUGGAGGACAGUAUUUGUGCUGUUAAGAAGUAUAAAUUGUGUUCUGCCAUUGAAAUAAGGGAACUCGACACAAAGCAAAAGAUUUCGAAGUCUGACCUACAUGGGAAAGCAAAAUAUAUUGUGUUGUAGUUGUAGCUGUUAGUAGAGUCUUAAUAUGCGAUAGAAGACCUUGAUGUUUAAUAGCAAAUAUAUUUAAGUGUGUUAUCAGUGUGUUAUCAGUGUUUAAGUUACUGUUAUGUGUCAUUUGUUUGCCAGGAUGAUGUAAGCAGACAGUAAAUAAAUGCAUGGUUUGAGAUUAUAACCAGGUUUGUCUAUGGCAUUCACUAUUAUUUAAGGUGGACCAAUGCAUAUUCAUGGGUGCAUAUUCAACCACCACAUUCCUCCUGCACAAACAAUUCCUACAUACUAGCGUUUGGUCUUAGCAGCUGAUGUUGGCUAUUAUACAAUUUCUUGAAAGCACA